CAGUAGCCGCGGUAAUACGAAGGGGGCUAGCGUUGCUCGGAAUGACUGGGCGUAAAGGGCGCGUAGGCGGCGAUCAAAGUCAGGCGUGAAAUUCCUGGGCUCAACCUGGGGGCUGCGCUUGAUACUUGGUUGCUUGAGUGGGGAAGAGGGUCGUGGAAUUCCCAGUGUAGAGGUGAAAUUCGUAGAUAUUGGGAGGAACACCGGUGGCGAAGGCGGCGACCUGGUCCUUGACUGACGCUGAGGCGCGAAAGCGUGGGGAGCAAACAGGAUUAGAUACCCCUGUAGUCCCUGUCUCUUAUAC
rnacentral:rRNA from 1 species